rnacentral:rRNA from 1 species
AUUGAACGCUGGCGGCAUGCUUUACACAUGCAAGUCGAACGGUAACAGGCCGCAAGGUGCUGACGAGUGGCGAACGGGUGAGUAAUGCAUCGGAACGUGCCCAGUCGUGGGGGAUAACUACUCGAAAGAGUAGCUAAUACCGCAUACGAUCUAUGGAUGAAAGCGGGGGACCGUAAGGCCUCGCGCGAUUGGAGCGGCCGAUGUCAGAUUAGGUAGUUGGUGGGGUAAAGGCUCACCAAGCCAACGAUCUGUAGCUGGGCUGAGAGGACGACCAGCCACACUGGGACUGAGACACGGCCCAGACUCCUACGGGAGGCAGCAGUGGGGAAUUUUGGACAAUGGGCGCAAGCCUGAUCCAGCAAUGCCGCGUGCAGGAAGAAGGCCUGCGGGUUGUAAACUGCUUUUGUACGGAACGAAACGGCUCUGGUUAAUACCCGGGGCUAAUGACGGUACCGUAAGAAUAAGCACCGGCUAACUACGU